rnacentral:ncRNA from 1 species
UUGCAGAUAAAAUAUAUAAAAUGAAACAUUUUAAAGAUUCUGGGGAGUGACCAAUACAUUACAUUGCUAUAUAAAUAAGCGUAAUAAAAAAAUAAAUGUGUAGCUUAUCUUAGGCAUCUGUGGUUGCUUCAACAUUUGAAAGUCAGUCAACAUAAGCAGGCCAGAGCCACCUGAUACCACACAUAAGAAUAAUGGAAUAGAUCUACAGUUCUAUUUUGUUGGUUUUUCCAAAAAGAGGCUAUGAUUAACAGGGACUGCCAGGGGUAUUCAUAUUGUGCUACUGGAGGUGGAUUUCUCAGACUGGCACAAGAUGGACCAGAGCAAAGCAUUUGCCAGGAAUGUUUCCAGUAAUCAAGAAUAAAAGUGAGAGUAUCUAAGAUGAUCAGAUACAGAGGUAGUUCCAACCAUAAACGUUGGCAACUGGCAAAGCAGCAGCAUGGUUUCCAUGAGCCUCUUGGUAGCUUCCAGGAAAUCAAAAUCUUUGGAUUUGG